AGAGUUUGAUCCUGGCUCAGAAUGAACGCUGGCGGCAUGGAUUAGGCAUGCAAGUCGAACGAGCUCCCUUCGGGGAGAAAGUGGCGAAAGGGUGAGUAACACGUGGGCAACCUGCCUCCGGAUCCGGAAUAAUCCAGGGAAACUUGGUCUAAAACCGGAUGAAGACAUUGGGCCGCAUGGUCUGGUGUUAAAAUAUUUAUAGUCCGGAGAGGGGCUCGCGGCCCAUUAGCUUGUUGGCGGGGUAAUGGCCCACCAAGGCUACGACGGGUAGGUGGUCUGAGAGGAUGGUCACCCACACUGGGACUGAGACACUGCCCAGACUCCUACGGGAGGCUGCAGUCGAGAAUCUUCCGCAAUGGGCGCAAGCCUGACGGAGCGAUGCCGCGUGAGGGAUGAAGGCCUUCGGGUUGUAAACCUCUGUCAUCCGGGACGAAAACAAUGACGGUACCGGAAAAGGAAGCCACGGCUAACCACGUGCCAGCAGCCGCGGUAACACGUGGGUGGCGAGCGUUAUUCGGAUUUACUGGGCGUAAAGGGUCCGCAGGGGGCCUGCCACGCCUGCCGUGAAAUUCCAAGGCUCAACCUUGGACCUGCGGCGGGUACGGGCGGGCUAGAGUGCAAGAAGGGCAGACGGAAUUCCAGGUGUAGCGGUGGAAUGCGUAGAUAUCUGGAAGAACACCGAUGGCGAAGGCGGUCUGCUGGCUUGUAACUGACCCUCAGGGACGAGAGCGUGGGUAGCAAACAGGAUUAGAUACCCUGGUAGUCCACGCCGUAAACGUUGUGUGCCAGAUGUGGGUGGGUUCGGCCCCAUCCGUGUCCA
rnacentral:rRNA from 1 species